UCAGGAUGAACGCUGGCGGCGUGCUUAACACAUGCAAGUCGAACGAUGAUCCCAGCUUGCUGGGGGAUUAGUGGCGAACGGGUGAGUAACACGUGAGUAACCUGCCCUUAACUCUGGGAUAAGCCUGGGAAACUGGGUCUAAUACCGGAUAUGACUCCUCAUCGCAUGGUGGGGGGUGGAAAGCUUUAUUGUGGUUUUGGAUGGACUCGCGGCCUAUCAGCUUGUUGGUGAGGUAAUGGCUCACCAAGGCGACGACGGGUAGCCGGCCUGAGAGGGUGACCGGCCACACUGGGACUGAGACACGGCCCAGACUCCUACGGGAGGCAGCAGUGGGGAAUAUUGCACAAUGGGCGAAAGCCUGAUGCAGCGACGCCGCGUGAGGGAUGACGGCCUUCGGGUUGUAAACCUCUUUCAGUAGGGAAGAAGCGAAAGUGACGUACCU
rnacentral:rRNA from 1 species